CCUACGGGUGGCAGCAGUAGGGAAUAUUGCUCAAUGGGGGAAACCCUGAAGCAGCAACGCCGCGUGGAUGAUGAAGGUUUUCGGAUUGUAAACUCCUUUUGUUAGAGAAGAUAAUGACGGUAUCUAACGAAUAAGCACCGGCUAACUUCGUGCCAGCAGCCGCGGUAAUACGGAGGGUGCAAGCGUUACUCGGAAUCACUGGGCGUAAAGAGCGCGUAGGCGGGAUAGCAAGUCAGACGUGAAAUCCUAUGGCUUAACCAUAGGACUGCAUUUGAAACUGUUAGUCUAGAGUAUGGGAGAGGUAGGUGGAAUUCUUGGUGUAGGGGUAAAAUGCGUAGAGAUCAAGAGGAAUACUCAUUGCGAAGGCGACCUGCUAGAACAUAACUGACGCUGAGGCGCGAAAGCGUGGGGAGCAAACAGGAUUAGAUACCCUUGUAGUC
rnacentral:rRNA from 1 species